rnacentral:tRNA from 1 species
UCCCAUGUGGUCUAGUGGUUAGGAUACCUGGCUUUCACCUAGGCGGCCCGGGUUCGAUUCCCGGCAUGGGAA